GACAGAGGGUGCAAACGUUGUUCGGAAUUACUGGGCGUAAAGCGCGUGUAGGUGGCAAGGCAAGUCGGGUGUGAAAGCCCUGGGCUCAACCCAGGAAGUGCACUCGAUACUGCCUCGCUAGAGUCCCGGAGAGGUUGGUGGAACUCUCGGUGUAGAGGUGAAAUUCGUAGAUAUCGAGAAGAACACCGGUGGCGAAGGCGGCCAACUGGACGGUGACUGAUACUGAGACGCGAAAGCGUGGGGAGCAAACAGGG
rnacentral:rRNA from 1 species